rnacentral:rRNA from 1 species
GCUGAUUUCACACUGUCAAGAAAAGUCUCUAUCGAGGUUAAAGGUACCCGUACCGCAAACCGACACAGGUGGGUGAGGAGAGUAUCCUAAGGCCAGCGAGAGAACUGUUGUUAAGGAACUCGGCAAAAUGACCCCGUAACUUAGGGAUAAGGGGUGCCGCCAUCAGGUGGCCGCAGAGAAUAGGCCCAAGCGACUGUUUACCAAAAACAUAGGUUUCUGCUAAGUCGCAAGACGAUGUAUAGGAGCUGACGCCUGCCCGG